rnacentral:rRNA from 1 species
UAGGGAAUCUUCCACAAUGGGCGAAAGCCUGAUGGAGCAACGCCGCGUGUGUGAUGAAGGCUUUCGGUCGUAAAGCACUGUUGUAUGGGAAGAACAGCUAGAAUAGGAAAUGAUUUUUAGUUUGACGGUACCAUACCAGAAAGGGACGGCUAAAUACGUGCCAC